rnacentral:rRNA from 1 species
GACGAACGCUGGCGGCGUGCUUAACACAUGCAAGUCGAACGCGUGGCGCACAGGGGAGUAAUACGUGGGUAACCUGCCCUCUUUUUGGGAUUAGCCUUUGAAACGGGGACUAAUACCGAAAACGGGGGUUCGGCUAGCGGCCUAUCAGCUUGGUGGUGGGGGGAUUGCCUACCCAGGCGGUGACGGGUAGGUGGGCUGAGAGGGUGACCGGCCACAGAGGGACUGAGAAACGGCCCAGACGCGGACGGGUGGCAGCAGUGUGGGAUAUGGGACAAAGGGCGAAAGCCGGAUGCAGCGAGGCUGCGGGGGGGAUGAAGGCUUUCAGGUUGUAAACCUCUUUCGCUAUCGAACGGGUAGGUGGAGAAGAAGCGCCGGCUAACUACGUGCCAGCAGCCGCGGUAAUUC